rnacentral:rRNA from 1 species
AGAGUUUGAUCCUGGCUCAGGACGAACGCUGGCGGCGUGCCUAAUACAUGCAAGUAGAACGCUGAAGAGAGGAGCUUGCUCUUCUUGGAUGAGUUGCGAACGGGUGAGUAACGCGUAGGUAACCUGCCUGGUAGCGGGGGAUAACUAUUGGAAACGAUAGCUAAUACCGCAUAAAAUUGAUUAUUGCAUGAUAAUUAAUUGAAAGAUGCAAUUGCAUCACUACCAGAUGGACCUGCGUUGUAUUAGCUAGUUGGUGAGGUAACGGCUCACCAAGGCGACGAUACAUAGCCGACCUGAGAGGGUGAUCGGCCACACUGGGACUGAGACACGGCCCAGACUCCUACGGGAGGCAGCAGUAGGGAAUCUUCGGCAAUGGGGGGAACCCUGACCGAGCAACGCCGCGUGAGUGAAGAAGGUUUUCGGAUCGUAAAGCUCUGUUGUAAGAGAAGAACGGGUGUGAGAGUGGAAAGUUCACACUGUGACGGUAUCUUACCAGAAAGGGACGGCUAACUACGUGCCAGCAGCCGCGGU